ensembl:lncRNA
AGAUUAGCACCUUGAUAAUAAGUUUUCCCAUCCCUUUCCUUUCUACUUCUAAACUAGAGAACUCCCUUCAGAGUUGACUUGCUUUUCAGCCCAGACCUCAAUUGUUUUGUCUCUAACAUCCUCAUCCUAGAAUUUGGAAUAUGUUUUCCAGGGAGAAUGGGAAUUAUUACAUUUUCUUAUACAUUCCACUUUCCUUUUGUUGUAAGCAAGGUUGUCCAAGAAGCAGACUCUGAUGGAGUUUAGUAUUCAGUAUGUUUAUUACGGAAUACCCUUGGAAUCAACACAGGUAGAAGGAAGGGGAAGGAAGCUGGAAUGGGCAGAAGAAGUCAAGCUACAACACAAGCCUGACAGCCUCAGCCAACUAGAGUUCUGGAAGGAGCUCAGAAGCAGGACAGACCCAACAGAGUUUUCUCAUGUUGGGUUAAAAUCGUUGAAACUUUAUUUUCCCACCUUGAUUAGUCGUUGAAUGUAGAGCACCUAUAUAGUCAGAGUUCUCCACAGAAAUAGAACCAACAGGAGGCAGAGAGAGAGAUUGAUUGAUUGAUUUUAAGGAAUUGGCUCAUGCAACUGUGGGGGCCUGGUAAGUCGAAGUCUGCAGGGUAGACUGCAGGAUGGAGACCCAAGAAAGAAUUGCGGUUCAAAUCCAAAGGCUGUUUGCUGGCAGAAUGCUCUCUUCUCCGGAGGUCAGCCUUUUUCUAUCAAGUCAUUCAAAUGAUUGAGUUAGACCUCCCCACCUGAGGGAAGACAAUCUGCUUUGAUACUCAAAGUCUACUUAUUUAAAUGCUAAUCUCGUCUAAAAAAUACCUUCACAGAAACAUCUAGAAUGAAGCUUGACCAAAUAUCUGAUUAUAAUGGUUUAGCCAAGUUGACAUAUACAUUUAACCAUCACACCACCCCAGAAAGGCAUGAUCUUGAGAAGGAUGGCUCUCUGAAGGGGCUGACAGCUGAAUACAGUCUGCUAAUAGCAUUCCCAGCAGCUGGGGCAGUGAAUCCUUCCUUGAAGUGGAAUCUGAGCAGUGUCUUUCUGUGUUCACCAAACCUAUGAGGUUAAUUAAAUGUAUUCAGCAAUUAAAUUUACAUUCCUAGUAGGUGUUACACCAGACAUGAGAGACCAUCCACUGAGGAGCUGGGUGGAUAAGAACUGAAUGAAGCAGAAUGAUCACUUGGGAUGUGCCUCCUCCAUUGCCCCCAUCUACUGGAACUAUUUCCUUUGGAAGAUUCACCCGUCCUCCAGUCUCUCAGCUAAUGAAAUUUGCAUGGGAGUGAUUUCUCUCUCCCUUUGGCCACAUCGAUGGGCUCAGGAAUGGGCAAGUGCCGUAGAAAGAGCCAAUGAAAUAUUUACUGAAGUUUCUUGCAAAGAAAGAGAAAGAAUCAGUGUGGUGAAAGGAAUGUGAUGACCCCUGGGCAGAGAGUCUAUGCAUCUGAUAGCCAUCAUCAGUGACAACUGAAAGAUCAGGCUGUAUGGUGUUGCUCCAUUCCCUGAUGCGAUGCCUAUCCAGUAAAACAAAGGACUAACAGGAACUGGGAUCAGAUGUCUUCCCCACCUAGAGACCAACCACCUCCCCCACCU